rnacentral:rRNA from 1 species
AGGCUUAUACAUGCAAGUCGAGGGGCAGCGCGGGUAGCAAUACCUGGCGGCGACCGGCAAACGGGUGCGGAACACGUACGCAACCUUCCCAAAACUGGGGAAUAGCCCUCCGAAAGGAGGAUUAAUACCCCGUAACAUAACGAAGUGGCAUCACUUUGUUAUUAUAGUUCCGACGGUUUUGGAUGGGCGUGCGCCUGAUUAGGUAGUUGGCGGGGUAACGGCCCACCAAGCCUACGAUCAGUAACUGGUGUGAGAGCACGACCAGUCACACGGGCACUGAGACACGGGCCCGACUCCUACGGGAGGCAGCAGUAAGGAAUAUUGGUCAAUGGACGCAAGUCUGAACCAGCCAUGCCGCGUGAAGGAUGAAGGUCCUCUGGAUUGUAAACUUCUUUUAUAUGGGACGAAAAAAGGGCAUUCUUGCUCACUUGACGGUACCAUAGGAAUAAGCACCGGCUAACUCCGUGCCAGCAGCCGCGGUAAUACGGAGGGUGCGAGCGUUAUCCGGAUUUACUGGGUUUAAAGGGUGCGUAGGUGGGCAGGUAAGUCAGUGGUGAAAUCUCCGGGCUUAACCCGGAAACUGCCAUUGAUACUAUCUGUCUUGAAUAUCCUGGAGGUGAGCGGAAUAUGUCAUGUAGCGGUGAAAUGCUUAGAUAUGACAUAGAACACCGAUUGCGAAGGCAGCUCACUACGGGGUCAUUGACACUGAGGCACGAAAGCGUGGGGAUCAAACAGGAUUAGAUACCCUGGUAGUCCACGCCCUAAACGAUGGAUACUCGACAUUUGCGAUAUACUGUAAGUGUCUGAGCGAAAGCAUUAAGUAUCCCACCUGGGAAGUACGACCGCAAGGUUGAAACUCAAAGGAAUUGACGGGGGGUCCGCACAAGCGGUGGGAGCAUGUGGUUUUAAUUUCGAUGAUACGC